rfam:Fukomys damarensis contig147121, whole genome shotgun sequence.
UACAGUGUAGCUCAGUGGUAGAGCACUUGCCUGGCAUGUAAGAGGUCCUGGGUUCCAUCCCCAGGACUGAAA